rnacentral:rRNA from 1 species
AGUGUCUCAGACUAGCCAUGCAUGUCUAAGUAUAAGUGUUAUACAGCGAAACUGCGAAUGGCUCAUUAAAACAGUUAUAGUUUAUUUGACAAUCGAAUUUACAUGGAUAACCGUGGUAAUUCUAGAGCUAAUACAUGCUGGUGUGCCCGACUUUUCGGAAGGGCGGUAUUUAUUAGAUAACAAGCCAAUAUUCCUCUGGUCUAUUGUGGUGACUCAUAAUAACUGAUCGAAUCGCAAGGCCUAUGGCCGCGAUAAGUCAUUCAAGUUUCUGCCCCAUCAGCUUUCGAUGGUAGUGUAUUGGACUACCAUGGCGUUUACGGGUAACGGAGGAUUAGGGUUCGAUUCCGGAGAGGGAGCCUGAGAAACGGCUACCACAUCUAAGGAAGGCAGCAGGCGCGUAAAUUACCCAAUCCUGAUUCAGGGAGGUAGUGACAAGAAAUAACGGACCGAGGCCUUCGGGCUUCGGGAUUGCAAUGAGCCGAAUUUACACCCCUUAGCGA